rnacentral:tRNA from 1 species
GUCAGGAUGGCCGAGUGGUUAAGGCGCCAGACUCAAGCUCGGGCUUCCCUCGUUGGGGGUUCUGGUCUCCGGAUGGAGGCGUGGGUUCGAAUCCCACUUCUGACA